rnacentral:sRNA from 1 species
AAACAAAGAGUUUGAUGAGGAUGCAAAUGCAUGCAUAACUAUUGAAUUUUCUUCCUCCCUUAGAAAUUGUUGUUGCGCUCCAUGUUGACCGCUCUUAUCUCGCAAGAGAGGUGCUCUAGCUCCCAGUGAUCAAUUUGUACUUGAGAUGCACUACAACGACCAGCAAUGUUUAACUCGAUGGAUGUAGUUAAGGUAGCAAUCCUCUGGAAAAGAAAAAACGAAGAGAAUAAAAAACCGAAAACUGAAGAAGUUGGAAGUUAUCACUAUAAGUCAAGGUAACAUUUAAGAAUAUUAUUAGAUAUAUCACCUUUUUAAAACGAAGAUAGCGUUGCAAGAGUGCUUUUCUUUCGAUGAUGUCCUAGUCUUCCAAUAGUUCUCCGCUCUCUUCUCCUGCACACAAACAAAACAAAGAAAUAUAUAAGCAAAGCAAUAGUUCUCUGCUCUCUUCUCUAUUCUCUCUUCUCCUGGACGUUCAAUGCAAAGCAAUAUAUAAACAAGAUAUAUUGUGAGAAUCUUAGCUAUUAGACUAAUUACCAGUAUAACUUGAGAUGCCUCAGUGAUUUGGUCAAGUCGGGCCAUAGGUAAGCCAAUCACACAGCUGGGUUUCUUCAAGAUUUGUUCCACCAGGCCAUUGUAGCUACGAAUCCCAGCAGCUUGUAGUCUUUCCACAUCUCAAGCGUCAAUCAUACCUUAACUCUACGAAAUUGUGUAAAUGGCUGUUUUGUUUAGUUGCUCCAAAACUAUUGCAAUCUCUGAAACUUCUUUCUCUGCUUUGCAUUUAAGGACUAUAUUGGUUAUUAAUCUAUCUAUGUUUCUUACAAUUGACAUCUCUCUAAAUUUUCAUCAAACAUAAUAUGUCUACUCUUCACAAGAAGAGAUUUCUGAGAAGAUAGAGGUAAUAGUUUGGGCUCUUCAGCCUCUACCAUCUCUUGUAACCAAAAGGGUGUGUGUUUGAAGUUAGGAGUUGUGAUUACAUCAAAACGAGUAGUUGCGAUCCGUAAGCUCCAAGGUAACAAACCUCCAAACAUUGAUAUUGGUGGGAAGAGAUGUCCAUUUUUCAAAACGGA